CCGGGGGUGCCGCGGCUCGGGGUGCCUGACAUGGCGCUGGAUUCGCGGGCAGGCGGGCAGCGAGCUCAUUCAAUCCCGCCGCACCGGGGGAGGAGGCAGCGGCUCCGAUCGGGUUGUUCAAGAGGGAAGCUGCCCUUCCACCGUCCCAGGGAACACAGCCACAUGUACAAACUAAAAACCAUGAAGAAGUUUUCCCGUCUAAAAGAUCUGGGGUACAAUUUUUCCCAAAACAUAUUUUUACUGAAUAUACCCCAACUUCUGACUUAACUGAUAUAAACUGGAUUACCAUUCCCACGAGGUAAUUCCUCAUGCCCCAGAACUUGAGCGGCUGAACAGCUUACGGCCGUUGCGCCUCUCGGCUCCCGAGGAAAGCUGAGGAAAAGGAGAUUUUCUGCCUGAGAAGUAGAAAAAACAAGUUUGGGUCUGUCACCCAUACACGUGGACAGCAAGGAGAAGAGGCAGCAGGAACAUAACGCAACGAAGUGCUGUGGGUGAGAGGGAGGACAGACCUGGAGAAAUGGAAAGAGAGCAAGAAAAUACUGCAUGUGGUAUAUGAAAAGGAGCCUGGGGAGCCAGGCUGGACAAAUAGGCUUGAAUGGGUUUAUCCUCAUAACAGAACCUGAGCGAUCCUCGUUAGAUCUGGGAUCCUAAUGUCAAGUACCCCUCAAACUGGAAAACCUCACAAUAAAUCCAGGAAUUCUGAACACUCGAUACCCUCGUCAUCAAGUAGCUGUAAGUGUCUCUCGCAGUCGCUGCGCACCUCUAGCAGCCGGCCCGUACCGAGGGUCGGUUUUCCCGUGGAUGCAGUUUCAAACCACGCAUCCAAUGCGGGAUGCGCUGUCCUGGCCGGUGGGCAGCGGAGCACCCAUCCUGCCAUGGGCACCUCUCCCGGGACACACCGGCUGCUCCUUCACCUCCACCUCCUGCAGAGCAGAGGGCAGGACCCCCAUCACGUCUGCGGAGCAGAGCAGAGGGCAGGACCCCCAUCGUGUCCGCGGAGCAGAGCGGAGGGCAGGACCCCCAUCAGGUCCGCGGAGCUGUGGGGAUCGGCAGCUUGCUUGGGGGGGGGUUAUGGCUGCAGCUGAAAUAAGUGAAGCAUAUAGCCCCCUGCACGUGCCCCCUCUGCAGCACUUACACACCCUCCCUGCCCGACGGGGUGACACGCUGCACAGCUCGGCUCCCCGACCACAUCCAGCUUGGCUGGGGCACGCCUGGCUCUGGAGGAGGCGGCAGGGAGCCGGGACUACAAGUCCCAGGGUGCCGCGGCGGGGCGGGCGGCCCCUGCCCAUGGCCCCGCCGAGCGCCGGCAGCCGCAGCCCGGCCAGCCCCGGCCCCGGGGCCGCCCCCCGCCCCAUUGUUCCCGGCCGCCCCCCGGCGCUGGAUGCACGGAGCGUUUUUUGAAUUUUGGCGCCUGGCUGCAAAUGCUAAACUGCCUGCUGAUGAUGCUUAACUGCCUGCUGAUGCUAAACUGCCUGCUCCUGGCUGGGCUCCAGCGCCUGCCCGCGGCCGGGGCUGCCCCGGCAUCAUUUGAACGAGCUGCCGGCCCCGGGAGAGGCAGGGAAACGCCGGAGCAUCCCGCCGUGCUCCUGCCGGGAGCUUGUUCUCCCUCCACACGCCGUUUCCAACUAGUGGAUUCGUGGAAGACCACUUAUAAACUUAGGUUAUGUUAAGCCAGAAGAAAACACUGCAGGAGCGCGGAAAGCCUCCGUAUGAGCCAUUUUGCAUCAGCUCUUGUGGUUUGACGUGACACUUAGCGCAUCGAUUUUGGAAAUGCUUUUCAAGUUUUUGCCCGAUUUUGAAUGAUAAUGUAAUCCAGGCAUAAAUCCUCUUUGUUCAUGAAGUUUAGCCCAAACCUCCCCCUUAUUUUUCUAUCAGAUUUUUCAGAUAAUGGCUUAGAACCUUUGAAUGUUUCAAGGGUUUGUGGGUUUUUGUUGCCUACAAUGUUACCAGUGAUUUUCAUAGUGCUGAUCCCAACUUUGUUGCAGUAAAAUAUUUUUUUCUAGAAACACUUCCUGAAAUAUGCCUCAAUAAUAAUACCUGGUAUUUUCUGCA